UCGGAUUGCAGUCUGCAACUCGAGUGCAUGAAGCUGGAAUCGCUAGUAAUCGCGGAUCAGAAUGCCGCGGUGAAUACGUUCCCGGGCCUUGUACACACCGCCCGUCACACCAUGAGAGCCGGGAACACCCGAAGUCCGUAGUCUAACCGCAAGGGGGGCGCGGCCGAAGGUGGGUCCGGUAAUUGGGGUGAAGUCGUAACAAGGUAAC
rnacentral:rRNA from 1 species